rnacentral:rRNA from 1 species
AGCGAACGCUGGCGGCAGGCCUAACACAUGCAAGUCGAACGAAGUCUUCGGACUUAGUGGCGGACGGGUGAGUAACACGUGGGAACGUGCCCUUAGGUUCGGAAUAACUCAGGGAAACUUGUGCUAAUACCGAAUGUGCCCUUCGGGGGAACGAUUUAUCGCCUUUAGAGCGGCCCGCGUCUGAUUAGCUAGUUGGUGAGGUAAAGGCUCACCAAGGCUACGAUCAGUAGCUGGUCUGAGAGGAUGACCAGCCACAUUGGGACUGAGACACGGCCCAAACUCCUACGGGAGGCAGCAGUGGGGAAUCUUGCGCAAUGGGCGAAAGCCUGACGCAGCCAUGCCGCGUGAAUGAUGAAGGUCUUAGGAUUGUAAAAUUCUUUCACCGGGGACGAUAAUGACGGUACCCGGAGAAGAAGCCCCGGCUAACUUCGUGCCAGCCGCCGCCGUAACAC